GACGAACGCUGGCGGCGUGCCUAAUACAUGCAAGUUGAGCGCUGAAGGUUGGUACUUGUACCAACUGGAUGAGCAGCGAACGGGUGAGUAACGCGUGGGGAAUCUGCCUUUGAGCGGGGGACAACAUUUGGAAACGAAUGCUAAUACCGCAUAAAAACUUUAAACACAAGUUUUAAGUUUGAGAGAUGCAAUUGCAUCACUCAAAGAUGAUCCCGCGUUGUAUUAGCUAGUUGGUGAGGUAAAGGCUCACCAAGGCGAUGAUACAUAGCCGACCUGAUAGGGUGAUCGGCCACAUUGGGACUGGGACACGGCCCAAACUCCUACGGGAGGCAGCAGUAGGGAAUCUUCGGCAAUGGACGAAAGUCUGACCGAGCAACGCCGCGUGAGUGAAGAAGGUUUUCGGAUCGUAAAACUCUGUUGGUAGAGAAGAACGUUGGUGAGAGUGGAAAGCUCAUCAAGUGACGGUAACUACCCAGAAAGGGACGGCUAACUACGUG
rnacentral:rRNA from 1 species